rnacentral:misc_RNA from 1 species
GCUGUUGAUAUCCUGUGAAUGUCUUAGCACAAUAGCACCUGGAAAAUUGAGGCAAGACACACUGCAAAGGCAAGACAACUGGUAGUGUCUCUUGUCCCUGGAGGCUUUCUGGGGAAAGUUCAUUCAUCAAUUUCUUGUUCUCAACUCUUAAGGGAGGUUCAAGAGAGGAAACAUGUUGGAGCGUGUUUGGUUUUUGAAGACUCCCAUUGAUUAGAAACAAGAAAAAUAAAGGGCUUAUAAUUGUAGGGGAGCUAAAACUAAAAUGGCCAACAAAUGGUAUAAGAGCUUGCAAUUCUCUUGUACCAAAUCUCUAUCAAGUAUAAUAGCUAUACAAAGGAAAAUUUCAUUAAGGAGCAGCAUUCCCUUCAUCUGGAGAAAAGUCUGGUAAAAAAGUUCCCUGAAUUGGCCUUUUCUAGACAUGCUACAUGAACAUAUCUUCCAAACUUGUCAACUUGCCUUGGCUCCCCUCCGGUAUCUUUCCUGCAGACCUUGCAAGUUUUGUCAACCCAGCCAUCUUCCACAUAUUGGCCAUCCACUGAUUUCAAGAUGAGAAAAUAGGACAAACUGUUAAAGCCCAGUAAAGCUAGUACUCAAAAGCAGAUAGAGCAAGAAAGAUGGCAGUUUUGAAACCUGUCCCUAAAUCUUAAAUGAAACUUGAUGGUGAUUAUGGCAUGAAGAAGAACUAUUCAAACUUUUUUUUUGUUUGAUAUUAGAUUGUUCUCUAGUUUCUCUCCCACUAUUGAUCAUUACAAGAGAAAAAUGAUGGAUACCAAGAAUAAGAUUUUGACAGAAUGAAUUUGAAACUGGAAGAAUGAACUGCAUACCAUCAAUGUAAGAUUUGAAGAAGUCCUUGUAUGUCCCUCCAAUUUUCCUUCUAAGAGCGCCAUACUGCAUUGAAUGAGAAAUUCAAAUCACAUAUUGAGUACACCACUGCAAUAUAGAGAUUGAACAGAAAGAUUAUUACUUUCUUACAUCAAACAAGAACUCUGCAAUACCUGUUCCCUAGUCAUUCUGCUACCAGACCUGGUGUUUUGUCUAGCUUUCUCAAGAAGUUCAGCAUCUCUAGUAGACCGAACUUGGGAGAAAUCUAAAGCUUCAGUUACACUGCUCAACAAAGAUUGCUUACUCUUCUUUGGCUCCUCUUUACCAUUCUCUGAUUUAGCCAAAAUUCUGAAGUUAGAGCUCUUAUGAAGCCUGUGGUCAGACAAGAAUUUCUGUGCAACUCCAACCUGUGAAGGGAAACAACAGUUUUGAGAUGGUGACAACGGAAGAGUUCUAAGUCCCAUGUCUAUUUUCCUGAGGCUUAGUAGUAUCAAAUUCAAUUUUCACUCAGAAACUUCGUUUAAGUUGCUCCUUUUAUAUAGUUAGCGUGGCUGUGAUUGGCCUGCAAAGCAGAACCACUAGUUUAUUGCAAUUUGUGAUUGCACAUAGCUUGGCUGCCACUCACAACACUGGGUGGCUAAAGGAAAACUACGUGGUCCUUCGCCCAACUACUAAAAUUGAGAGGAGCAAUUGGUUUUAAACUUGGGGAAAUGCACAAGAAGUAUCUCUUGACUAACAUAAAAGAGAUCUCUUUAUAUAUUCAAUAUCAAUGGCUGGCAGUCUUUUUUUUUUUUUUUUUUUU